rfam:Myotis lucifugus cont2.3040, whole genome shotgun sequence.
UGUGCACCGGUGGGGUUCCUCGGCCUGGCCUGCUGGGAUUGAGCCAAAAUUGGCUCUCUGACAUCCCAUGAGAGGUCCUGGAUUGUGAGAGGGCGCAGGCCAGGCCGAGGGACCCCACCGGUGCACG